ensembl:lncRNA
AAAUAAAUGAAGUUGUUAAUUAAAAAGGAAGCAGGACUUGGUGGAAACACAGCGGAAUGUCCCGGAAUAGAAGCUGUGACUGAGAGCCGCAUGCGGCUGUGUGGCAGAGCACAAGUGGGACCGGGACUCAGACCUGCGCCCUUGGUGGAUUCCAUUUCCCGGUCUCCGUGAUGGAUGGAGACAGGCAGGUGACGGAUGUCAGGGAUGAGGCUCAGCUGCAGUGUGUUAGCUGUGACUGCUUAGGAAAAGAUGUCCUUCCAGUGACAACGGAUAAAUGAAAACGGCAGGAAGACUCGGAGCACCUGGCAGCCCUUUUGUUAUCGUGAGGAAGCUCCUGCCUAAGAAUGAGACCAGCACAAAAUGGGAAUGAGACGGACGCCCAAGAACAUCCAUUGAAUGCCUAGCCCCGGCCAUGCCUGGAGCUGGAAUCUUUUCACUGUUCUGCGAGCUAAUACUCGUAUAUCCUGUGUCUCUCAAGCUGGCUGAAUUAGGUCCAGAUGUGUCCCAUUUUUAUAUUAACAAUCCGUCACUCAGGAAAGCCGAGUAAGUUUCCUACGCUGAGGACGUGGCCAUGUAGGUAGGGGAGCCAGCGCCAACCCGGAUUUUCCUGGAUCUUAACUCCGUAAUCUCAACUCCUGGGCAAUUGCUUCUGAAAUUGACUUAAAAGAGAUACUGAAGGCCAGGGGAAGGGUGGGGGAUGGUGCCUGCAUUGUGACUCAGUAGGUUUAGUGGCACCCCAGCUUAUAUGGGUGCUGGUUGGAGUCACGGCUGCUCCACUUCCCAUCCAGCUCCCUGCUCAUGCGCCUGGGAAAGCAGCGGAAGAUCGCCCAUGUAGGAGAUCUAGAAAAAGCCCUUGGCUCUUGGCUUCAGUCUGGGCCAGCCCUGGCCAUUGUGGCCAUCUAGGGAGUGAACCAGCAGAUGGAUGGUGUCUCUCUGUCUCUCCCUCUCUCUCUAUAACUCUGCCUUUCCAAAAAAAGUAAAUGAAUCUUUAAAAAGGAGAGAGAGAGAGAGAGAGAUAUUCCGGGAUUGUUUUCUCUUAGAGGUUUAAGGUGAUACCAGCAGUCAAUCAGGAGGAGAAAGCCUGGUGACUCUGCUGCCAAGAUUCUGGGAUCUGUGACUCCUUCGGACCUCUCUGAACGAGGAAGUGACAGCUGUUAACUGUGGCCAGACUGAGAUGUCAGAGGCACCCGCGUUUGACUUUCUGUUCUGACUGCCAACUGUAGGGGCCCUCUGGAUGCAGAAUGUUUUAAAUAGUCUUUUCUAGUAAUGGUUGAAAUGCUGUGUGCUAGUUCAAUUUUCAUGACUUCAAUUAAAAUACCAAGAGGAACAUCUUGGGAACGAAAAGGCUUGAUUUCGGCUGAGAGUUUGGAGUUUGAGCUGAGGAUCGGGUGAGCCCAUGGGGUGGGGUCUGGUGGGUGCUCACUGUGGCAGGUGUGGAGGCAUGGUCAUGCGGUAACCCAGGAAGCAGAGUGGGAGAGCAAGCUGGCCUGAACUUGCACCCAGGACAACCAACAUGUGCACAAGAGCCUCUCUCUGCAGGCACACCCCCAGCGACAUCGCCCAUCAGGCACCAAAGCUGUAUCAAAGCUCCACCCACAAUCCAUCUAUCAUUAGCACGAAGACAUUGAAGACAUCGAGUUUAAAUAUCUGAGUGCACUGGGGGGAGGCGAGUCCCACUUAACCCGUAAAGCUCUGCUUUGUUCUUAAAUAGUUUGUAAUUCACAAGGAGUUACAGAAGUAGCCAUCACCCAGUGUCCCCUGGUGCAUGGAUCUCACGUAAUGGUAGACAUGGGUGCAGCGCUAAGAGCGCCAACACAACCUCAGCCGGACUUGGCUAGCUUUAGGUGAGCUUUUCUUGUUCUGACGUAGGAACUAGGAAGCUGUAUGAGAGGUGGAUUGGAGCGGGUCCCAUGGAGACCACGACAUGGGGCUGCUCCGUCACCAUGGAGAUGCCCCUGCCAUCCCCAAUGUCCCACCCCACCCUGGCCUUAGCCAUUGGCCACCACCAACCUGUUCUCCCUCGCACUGGCUGUCUUCCUGCCAGGAAUGUUCUAUAAACGAUUCACACAGGACAUAGCCUGUGGCUGGGCUGUGGCAGGUGCGGCAGGUGUCCCUGGAUCCUGCCUGUGGGUGUAACCACAAGUAAUGCAGCCACUCGUCUCCGGGAGGUUCGGGUUCAUUCCUGUUUGGGGCUAUGAUGAAAAAGACCAGUCUUUAGGUCUUGUGUGAAAACAAGUUGUCAUUUUCUACAGGAUGCACCCAGGAGUGGGAAUUCAAGGUCACUGGGUGAUUUUACGUUUAACUUUAUAAGAAAGGAUCAUUCCCAUUUCUUAUAGAAGACUUGUCCAGCUUUCUAGAACAUUCCUUCAACACUGGCCUGGGAGGCACGUGCCUCCAUGCCCAGCUUCUUAGGAGGAGCCAGACUGCAAAAACCACCCUCUCCCCCUCCAGUCCCCAUGCUUAAAGGCAACUAGGAAGUGAAAUCGAAACUCGCAUUCAAAGCGACUUUUAUCUUCCUAUUUAUUUUCUGAUUAGAGACCCAGCACUUACUGAGAGUCAGGCUAUUGGUAAGACAUUAGCCAAGGGUGAAGAAAAAGGGGAAAAAAUCUCCCACAAGCUCCUGCCCCAGACAAAGCCAGGGCUGGCACUCCAGGCGUGGGCUCCACUGCCCGUUCUCAGCCGCCUGUUUAAAUGUCUACAGGUGACAUCCACCUCCCCAGCUGGGCUCCGUGUUCCUCUUCCCAGGAACGAGCAGGGCAGGGGAACCAAUAGCAAAUAACCCCAGCCCAAGGGAAAAGACACCCAAGGUCGUGAUCCGUCCCCUCUCAUCCACCUGCACCUCCUCUCUUCUCCUCUCUCCCGUCAUGCGCCUGUGGGCUGUGUGACUCAUUCUUAUCAGCUCCAGGCACCUGGUGCAUUGUGGGAGAGCCCCUGGGCCGGGUGGGAGCUCUUUCCAGGGAGACGCCCCUGUGCCGGGGUUCCUUGAGCUGAUUUGCUUCUCCCCCAGCCUCCCUCACUUAACCAAGGCUCAGGGUUGCAUGGAAAUGAGCUGCCCACAUGCUUAUCCCCAGAGACGCACUCUAAGAGAGGCCCCAGAAGUUACCCACUGAGGGGGAGGGGGACGAGUCGAGGAGAGGCAGAGAGACAGAGAGAGAGCUCCCAUCCGCUGGAUCACUCCCCAAGCAUCCACAACAUCUGGGGCUGGGCCAGGCCAAAGCCAGAAGCUGGGAACUCCAUCCGGGUCUCCACUGUGGGUGGCAAAGACCCAACAACAUGAACCAUCACCUGCUGCCUCCCAGGGUGUGCACUGGUAGGAGCUGGCACCAGACUCAGAGGCAGGAAUCAAAUCCGGGACCCCAGUGAGGGAUGCAGGCAUCUUAAGCUACAAGGCUAAAUGCCUACGCCUCAUCGGAACUUUUGAUGACCCUGUCUCAAGGUUAAUAUUUGCGGAAUCUGGCUCAGUAAGGGGUCUUGGCUUCUGGAACUGUGGCUUGGCCAAAAUGGGGGAACACCCCCGAGCCAGCCCCCCACCCCGACCAUGGCACUGGGAGGACAGGAGAGGAAGAGAGAAGUGAGAUUCCAGCACAACGUGUCCACAGCUGCUGCAUUGCUUUGGGUGGGGGAGUGGAUCACAAUAAAUGUCAAGGUCCAAGGAGGGUGGAAACUACC